GACGAACGCUGGCGGCGUGCCUAAUACAUGCAAGUCGAACGCAGUUGGGACGGGUGAGUAACACGUGGGUAACCUCCCAUCAGAGGGGAUAACACUUGGAAACAGGUGCUAAACCGAUACUGAUGGAUGGACCCGCGGUGCAUUAGCUAGUUGGUGAGGUAACGGCUCACCAAGGCCACGAUGCAUAGCCGACCUGAGAGGGUGAUCAGUCACACGGGGACUGAGACACGGCCCAGACUCCUACGUGAGGCAGCAGUGGGGAAUCUUGGGCAAUGGGCGGAAGUCUGACCUAGCAACGCCGCGUGGAUGAAGAAGGUUUUCGGAUCGUAAAGUACUGUCAUUGGAGAAGCGGUAUCUAACCAGGAAGCCACGGCUAACUCCGUGCCAGCAGCCGCGGUAAUAC
rnacentral:rRNA from 1 species